GCGCGAGUGGCGGAAUUGGCAGACGCGCAGGCUUCAGGUGCCUGUGUCCUUAGGGACGUGAGGGUUCAAGUCCCUCCUCGCGCACAA
rnacentral:tRNA from 1 species